rnacentral:tRNA from 1 species
GGUUGUGGUUCAGUGGUAGACUGCUUGUCUAGCAUGUGUGAGGCACUGGGUUCGAUUCUCAGAACCA